CCUCAACUCAACCUUCAACAAAUGAGAACCCCAAAUCGAUAACGUCCCUAUCGAAUUCCACCCGUACCCUCUCCUAUUUUUCACUAAUCCAAGGCCCGAAGUAACAAACUAACGGAAAGCCCACGCUGAACAGUGAAGUUGAGUUUUGCCAGAGCUGGGAGCGGAUAAAACUGGUGGCAUUCACUGGUGGAGAGGGUGUUUUUCGAUGAGUUUGGCUGCGUUUCCCGGUGAGAAACAGUCAUUGGAACAGUACAAUUUUUCUCUCUGUUCUUCUUCAAUUUCACUCUAUUUCUCCUCUUUCCUGAUCGAUUUCAGCUCGCCAUUGCCUUUCUCUCUCUCUCUCUCCGAUAUCACGUGUCUGGUGUGUGUAUACGGUGUGUAUGUGAAAAUUCGAUAGAGUGUGAAAUUUUGUAUGUGCUCUGCUUGUAUGGAUUUUUGUCAGUAGAAAAAUGGAAGAUGAAAUGGAGAAUCUCGUGUGUGCAUGUGUUUUUUAUGUUUUUUGGUGAGAGAGUGUGUGUAUAACGUCAAGAAGAGAGCAAUUGAGUCUCUAUGUGCUGUGCGUUUCUCCCCUUUUUUUCAGUCUGCCCCCUUUCCCCUGUAAGUGUGUAUAUGUAGCGUAUGAAAAAUCAAGAAUGAAAACCGUGAGGUGAGUGUUGUGUGAUGGUAUGUGGGACCUUCUUUUUUUUUGUUGUAUUUGUCUUUCUGUUAUUAUAACAAAAGAUGAAAAAAUAUGAAUUGGGGGUAGUCACGUGGCAGGGGUAGGGAUGGUUAGGAUAGGAUAAAAUUAUUUAAGGGUUGUUAUUUUUUAUAUUUUUGUGGAAUAUAAUCACAUGGGUGAGGACACGCAAUAAGACGAGGGUAAAAUGAUAAAAAUGCUUUUUUGGAGGGAUAAAAUUACGUGUCUACAUCAUUCCCCCUUUGAAUGUAAGAACGUAGUGUUUUCAGACAAAGAAGUAGACAUCGAGACAAAAUUUUGUCCCGACCAUUAUUCAAAGGAAGAAACAGAAGGAAGAAGGGCAAUCGGAUCUUGACUUAGGACAUCCUACCUACCUAAGUUGUGAGGAAACUAAGUCACAUGUUUCUUAAAGGGUUUGAAGAGAAGUGGACUGUACCAAGCUGGAGAGUCAAGUGAGUUUCCAUUGAGGUUCCGAUCCGUGGCUCUGUCAUUCCAUCAAAAAUAAAAACUACAAGUUAAACGUAAAUGAAAAUUACAAAAAUCCUAUCUAUACAGCUUCUUUGACUCUUGACUUACUAUUUCAUCACUCUAUUCUUCAGGCGGGCUCCUGACUUGCAAUUUUUUCAACUUGUUAUUUGGCUUUCAAUUGCUUCACCUCGUUGCUUAUCUUUCAAUUUGUUCACCCUGUUCUUCAGGCGGGCUCCUGACUUGCUAUUUUUCAAUCUGUUAACUUUCAACUUUUCACCUUGUUGCUUUGUUUUCAACUUCAUCACCUUGUUGCUUGACUUUCAACUUCUUCACCAUAUUGACGGACAUUUCAUUUAUUCGCCCUGUUCUUCAGGCAGGCUCCUGAAAUCACAUUAAAACUAAAAAGAAAAUUAUCCCAAAUAAAGAUUAUUAUAAAGAGAUUUCCUUUGCCAGAAAAGUGAAGUUCCUAACACAAGAAUUAAAUUAGCACCAUUAGCAGAUGUCAUUGACUUGCUGCUUCAUUGACCCGAACUCAAAUUAUUAGGAGUGACUCUGAAAAAAACAUAAUAUCUAUGCUUUGUCAUGUUUCUAAGAUAAACCCUUUGAACCUUGGUAUUUCUAUGAGUUUUUAGAUUUGUCUGUUGAUAAAACUUUCUGCAUGCCUUUAUUUUCCGCUCACAAUCAUGUCUCUUUCAUGCGAUGGCCUUUCUGCCUUUCUUUGUACAAUUGAAGAAGUUGGUAGCUAGUUUUGAAAUCUUUUCUCACUUGUUUUGACAUAGACUUGACUCAAAGAUAAGAGAAAAUAAAAUGACAAUGAUUUUUAUGUGGAUAACUGACUCAAGAAAACAAAAAUAUAAAUAAAGAGAAGAAAGAAAAGAUAAUGAAUGUUCCCAUUUGAAACAAAAAUAAAACAAAAUAAAAAAAAUGAAAAAUUUAUCUAGAAAUGACAGUCAACUCUAAUGAUUAUGCCAUGUAUUUUGGAUAAAACUUCUUGAUCUUUUCAUCCAAACUUUUACCAUUUGUUCUUGAGUUAAUGGCCUUGAAACUGAGUUGCUUCCUUAGGUCAAUUACGUCUAAGACCUCAUUCGACUAGUGGCGCCUUGAAGGGUUUUGGCCAACAAGCUUCUCUCAUUUUCUUUUCCUCAGCUCACUAUUGUCUUAUGGUGUCUGUAAGGUUUUUCACUAAUUAGACUCUCUUAUCUUUGUUUUUCUUAACUCACAGUUAUCUUACGGUGCUCGUGAGAGUUUUCAUCAAUAAGACUCUCAUUUUUAUCUCUCUCAACUUACCAUCGUCUUAUGGUGCCCGUGAAGGUUUUUACCAAUAAGACUCUCAUUUUUAUUUCUCUCCUGAUUUCUUAUGCUGAGGAAGACAAGUAGUUCCCAAAUACAUCAUCAUAUCCCUUGCAUUCUUUGCCUCAACAUCCUCAAAUAUUGAUCUGAAGGUCUUUCUUUUGUUGUAACUUGGAUUUUGGACAAGGUUAGAAAGAAAGGAUGACAUGAGGCCCAAACGACACUUGUAGUGGGGUGGGACUUACAACUUUUGGAAUCGAUUCAAACAAUGAGGAUUCACUCAUGCCCCAGUUUCUUUUAACUAAAAAAUUCAAAAUUAUAUUUGGUUAGACCGAGCCCUGAGUAGGGAAGCCUACGUAUCUCACCCUCGAGAGAGGAGAAUUAGGUCAUGCGUAGUUCUGGCAGCUUGUUCUUUUGCUUAAUUCUAACUUUUCUUUCUUUUUUACUUUAUUGACUCUUUUCUCUUUGGGAUUUUUUUUCUGACUUCAUUUUCUUGACACUCUUCUUUUCUUUCUUUUUGGACACAUUUUUUUUUUUUUUUUUUUUAAGUUUUCUGACCUUUUUUUCAACACUUUUUCUUGGACGUUGCAGACUCUAUCCUGAUUCCAAAAGAGGGGUACGAAAGAAAAUAGAACUAAGGCUCAAAUAAGGUAAAAAAAGGAUGACACAAUAUUUGGAUAGCAGAAUGAAAUGCCUUCAUCAUAUCAAUUCUUGAAAAUGCAAGUACACACCAUGCAAUAUAAAAGUGAGAGAUGAAGAUCAUGUGUGACACUUUAACAACACAAACUUUUAACUGAGCAUGUGUGACACUUCUUUCUUCUAUACUUAUCAAACAUAUGACUCUACCGUUGUUGUAGAUCCCUCACAUUGAAUGACUCAUGAUUUCGUGGAGAUGAUUUUCUUCCCGUUUCAUUUGAUAUAGAUCACAUAUUCCUUGGUUGACCUAAUUGGGAUAUGCCUUUCGAUUGAUGACCAAGUUAUUCUUGUGAUUCUCAAAAUAAUUGCCUUAAUUUUCAAAGAAGGCCUCAACUUGUCACCAAAUGUCUCAGCACUCUACUUAUUUUCUCAGAUGCUUUCUUUUCCAAACUUUAACUCUCUGAUUCAAUGAUUCCUGAUUAAGUUGGAUUUCAAGAUCUGGCUAAAAAUUCUGUAGGCAUGUCAUAACACUAGAAUUAACAUAAAAUUCAUUGCGUAACACAGACAAACAAAGAACUUAAAAUAAGACAAAACAAACAAGGGACACCACAUUUCAUUGAAAGGAAAGAUAGAAGGGUUUAAACAAAAAUGACAGAGAAACAAAGAAGAUAGAUCCCGAACAACCCUGAAAUAAUUUGGAAAAUAGAAAAGAAAACAAAACAAACUACCAGACCUCUUCCUAGUAGGGAGAGAGGUGACUUCUCAACUGCUCAGCUUGACAACUUAGUCACUGGUUUGCAUAUCAGCAUGACUAAAACUUCCACAACGAUAAGACACAUUUUCUUUAACAAAUAAGUUUUCGGUCCUCAUGUUCAAAGCAUUGCUUCCCAUAUAUUGUGCAAUACCAUGUGCUGGCGAAUAAUUCUGUGGGAUGGUUGAGGUGCCAAUGUUUUGCACCACAAUCAAUUUUUCUUGAAUCAUCCUUGAUAUUUCUCUUUUCAAAGCGCGAAAAUUCUUAAUACUGUGACCCUGAACAUCAGAAUGAUAUGCAUAUCAUACAUUAGGAUCAAAACUUCUUGAAUGUGGGUUAGGAGUAUAACUGAGGAGAGGAGUGAUCAUGCCCCACUGUACUAAUCUCUGGAAUAAACUGGCAUAUGACUCUCCAAUUGGUGUAAAGCUAUCCCUCGAUUUCUGCCUCAUUUCAUUAUUUAGUUUUGAUCGAACCUCGGGCCUAGAAGGGCUUUGGUAUGUUUGUGGAGUUAGAGGGUGACUUUGAGGAGUUGGUGCGUGUCAUUGUGAAUAAAAAGAGAGUUGAACAUAUGGCUGUGCGCAAUAUACUAGAUAUGGUGGUGGGGAAAUAGAGUAUAAUAGAUUUUGGGAGGGAUUAUAGAGAGCUUGGGUAUGAACUUGGGCUUGAGACUAACGGUAACGAUGACGUCGCCUUCUUGGAUGUGCCUAUUCUUCAACUACAUUGACAAUUGCAUCUUUCUCAUUCUUCUUUCCUCUAGUUUCUCUUAAUUGAUUGUAAUAUUGUCCCAAAUAUUCCACGGAUUCCCCAUGUCUAUCUUGCUCCUCAAAUUUUGACAUCUUAAGGAUUGGAGGGGGGUUAACACUUGAAGACAUGCCCCAAUCUUUGUAUGUAACAUCUUCUUUACCCAUAAGUCCUAGGAAAUUUUUCGUAGCAUUUUCUGCAUUCUUCAUCUUCUCAACCAUUUUCUCUGGCUCUUCUGGCAUGCUAGGCUUCUUGUUAAAAAAUUUUGGUGGUCCAAUUAACUUAAAUGUAGGAUCAAGAGUCUAAUAAUGAUCACCAAGAGUAUCGAGCAUGGGUCCACUAACAACAUGGGGAAACACAACUGUUAGGCAUCUAGCCAAUGUGGAUGUCUCAGCGGAGGAUUGAGCACCAAAAUCACAGACGACAUGUGGUGUUGUAAAUAUAGUUGGCUUAUGCCGAGGGGCUAGAAAAAUAGUGGUGGAAGUAUUGAAAUUCUUUUGGCUUGGAAUGAAUUCUGAGGCAUGUUGUGGUGCAUCAACAACAUUAGAAUAUGGAGCUUGCCAUUGUGAUGGAGAACUCAGGUUAUUUGCGGGGUCAACAGUAGAGAAUGGAGGAGGAGGCAACUUACUGGCCCAAUCUCGAUGCAUUUCCGUCAUUUGUUGCCUUAGUCUCCUAAUCUCUUGCUUCAAACUCUCAUUUUCAUGGCUCUUUUUUUGAUCCACGAUUUCACUCUCUAUAUCCUUGUUGGAUACAACUAACUCUUCCUCGGAUUUGGUGUGAUGUGGAGGAUCAGCCAGGAUGUCACAAACCAAUCACCUUAAACCAAUCAACACUUUCUCAAACUUUUUUUAGUUUUUUCUUUUUUUUUGAAAAAGAUUACCGAAUCCAAAAAGGGCGCCUACGUAUCUCACCCCCGAAAGGGGAGAAUCAGGUGUGCGUAGUUCGUGAAGUUUUUCCAAAAUGGCCAAUUAAACUAUUUUUCUUUUUUUUUUCCUUGUAACUUUAAAAAGAAAAGAAAAUAACAAAUUGUCAAAAGAAUUAAUGAAAAUCUUUUUGCAUUUUUCAGGUUUAAACUCAUUAUACAAAAUGGAAUCUAUGAUUAUCAAAGAAAAAUCUUUUUGGAUUUUCAAUUUUGAAUUUCAUAGGAAAAUGAAACUUGAAACUAUUAAAGAAAAAUCUUUUUUUAGUUUUCUUUUGGAGAUGUAUAUGAAACACCUAUUCUAAGUGAAGAGUGAAGAAAAUCUUUUUGAAUUUUUCAGAUUCCUGUACAACAUGAAAUCUGUGAUUACCGAAGAAAAUAUUUUUGGAUUUUUGAUUUUGAAUUUCAUACGAAAAUGAAACUUGAACCUAUUCAAGGAAAUAUUUUUUUUGUUGUUUUCUUUUAAAGAUGUACAUGAGACACCUACUCUAAAUGAAGAGUGAAGAAAAUCUUUUUUGGAUUUUUGAAAUAAGAUCUCCGAACCAAUAAUAGGCUACCUACGUAUCUCACUCCCAAGAGAGGAGAAUCAGGGGUGCGUAGUUCGUCCAAAUUGGACAAUUAAGGAUUAACUAGAAAACUGAACCCUGAUUUAAGAGACAUUAACAAAGAUAAACGAUAAAAGACGUUAAAAAAUAGUUUUUUUUUGGGGGGGGGGGGGGGUUUCAAUUAGACACUUCACAUAAAACUGACACCGAUAACUAUGAAAGAAUUUUUUUUUGAAAAUUUUGAAUUAUGAAUGCAGGACAAAGAAAUAAAAGGAAAAUCUUUUGGAUGUUAUUUUUUAGGAAAAUGAGUGCGAAAGGUAAAAAAAUCGUUUGAAUUUUUGGAUUGUGAAAAAAAAUAAUCAAAAGCCAUAAAGAAUUCUAAAAACUUACGAAACACUUUUUUUCUUUUCGACUCACUUUUUCUUUUUUUUUCCUCUUUUUUUUUUCAAUUUUUCCUUGCCUACAUACUCGAUUUUUCUAGCACAUGCUCUCCUCCAAAUCAAUUCGUCAAAUGACCAUAUUACCCUUAAAGAUGCAACAUUUAGCACGCAGAGAUGCUUUAGAGGUGAGUUUCCUACAAAAGGCCACGUGAGUCCUACUAGGUCUCAAUAUGAUGCAGAUAAGCAUGAUCUAAAGGCUGACCUACGCUGGGGUUCACUAACAAGGCUGUUCGGGGGUGCAUAUGGUCGACAGUGGUUGCGAUAUCUUUCCACCCACUCCAUAACAUCGAUGGAUCCCCCUCCAAAAAUAAGAGUGACUCAACUAGAGGUCGUGGACAACACGUGUACUAUGGACUUGUUACAAAAAGAAUGACUUAGAUUAUUCACAUGAUGCCAGAUAUAAAGCGGUAACACAUAAAGUAAAACUAUAAACAAAGAGCACGUAGGCACUCAACACUGAUAAAAUGAAUACGAACAAUAACAUAAACAAUGUCUAUACACCCAUAAUGUCAAACAAAGCCGAUACAACUCCAAAAUUAGCUCGAAUUCUGAAAAGUCCCCAGCAGAGUCGCCAGAGCUGUCACACCCCUUUUUAACUCCAAAAAGAUUAAAUUUAAGUUUCGAAAGGGUUUUCAUUAUUAAAGUGACAAAAAAUGAAAAUUUUGUUUCGAAAAGGAUUAUUCACAUUUAUACUCAGAGUCGCCACUUGGCACAAAUCAGGUGUGCCAAGUCACCCAUGGAUAUCCUUUUUCAAAAUGGUUUUGACUCUAUAAAACUAAUCCGCAAACAGAGAUUCUGACUAAGAACUUCUGUUGACCGGGGGGAAGGUGUUAAGCACCCUUCGAUCCCGUGGUUCGACCACGGUCGCUUGGUGGUGAAUAUCAGCUAAUUUGACAUUACAAAUGUAUAAACCACACAAAAACACAUAAAACAAUCAAACAAACAAACAAAAUAAAAUGAAUAACAAAUAUAAUGUCCAGUCCAAUUAUACAGUCCUGAAAUAAAUAAAAAUGCAAAAAUAAAUCCUAUCUAACCUAUACUAAUCCUAACUACGCUCCCAGGAUUUAUCCGAUGCCUCGGGCCUUGAUCACAAUUCGCCUUCGCCAACAUGAUACGUCGGGGCAUUCUUCGGUGAAUAAAUACAUCAAUGUUUGGGGCAUUCUCCGGCCAAAUGAAUACAUUUCAAUCCAAAAAAAUAAAUCAACACAUUUCAACAAAACACUUUCAUCAUUUAACGAUUGCAAGUCCUACUUUUGCCUACCCGAACCUACUCUUUACUUAUCCAAUUCGACCGAUCACGAUACUAUCACAUCAACGAUGUUCAAUGAAUCAAAAUAAAUUAACGCUUACAUUUUAUCAAUUUUCGAUUCCCACCCUCCAAAAUUCAAUUCAAGGUUUCCACAUAAUCAUUCACAGUUAUGAUUUUUCAACAAUCCUCGAACACUAUCAAUGAAAUCAAACGACAAAUUGAAAUCAUGAAGUAUUCAUAUCAAAUCAUGCCUCGCAUAAAUAAUCACAUAUAGUGAAAUUAAAAAUGAGAGGUGAUAGAAUUGGACCUUCGAUCAAGCUUUUUUAAAUUGGAAUAAUCCUUUCGACUAAAAUCGCAAACGGAACCUCAACUCAACCUUCAACAAAUGAGAACCCCAAAUCGAUAACGUCCCUAUCGAAUUCCACCCGUACCCUCUCCUAUUUUUCACUAAUCCAAGGCCCGAAGUCACAAACUAACAAAAAACCCACACUGAACAGUAAAGUUGGGUCGGUUUUGGCGGUUUCCCAAUAGUUUUCGUCGGAGUUGGGAGGGGAUAAAAUUGGUGGCAUUCACUGGUGGAGAGGGUGUUUUCCGAUGAGUUUGGAUGCGUUUCCUAGUGAAAAACAGGCACCGGAAUAGUGCUAAACUUUCCCUCUGUUCUUCUUCUAUUUCACUCCAUUUCUUUUCUUUUUCAAUCAAUUUCAGCUCGCCAUUGCCUUUCUCUCUCUCUCUCCGAUCUCACGUGUCUGGUGUUUGUAUACGGUGUGUAUGUGAAAAUUUGAUGGAGUGUGAAAUUUUGUGUGUGCUGUGCCUGUAUAGAUUUUUGUCAGUAGAAAAAUGGAAGAUGAAAUGGAGAAUCUCGUAUGUGCGUGUGUUUUUUGUGUUUUCUGGCGAGAGAGUGUGUGUGUAUAACGUGAAGAAGAGAGCAAUGAAGUCUCUGUGUUCUAUGCGUUUCUCCUUUUUUCAGUCCGCCCCCUUUCCCUGUGAGUGUGUAU
rnacentral:lncRNA from 1 species